CCUACGGGAGGCAGCAGUAGGGAAUAUUGCUCAAUGGGGGAAACCCUGAAGCAGCAACGCCGCGUGGAGGAUGAAGGUUUUCGGAUUGUUAACUCCUUUUGUUAGAGAAGAUAAUGACGGCAUCUAACGAAUAAGCACCGGCUAACUCCGUGCGAGCAGCCGCGGUAAUACGGCGGGUGCAAGCGUUACUCGGAAUCACUGGGCGUAAAGAGCGCGUAGGCGGGAUAGCAAGUCAGAUGUGAAAUCCUAGGGCAUAACCAUAGAACUGCAUUUGAAACUGUUAUUCUAGAGUAUGGGAGAGGUAGGUGGAAUGCUUGGUGUAGGGGUAAAAUCCGUAGAGAUCAAGAGGAAUACUCAUUGCGAAGGCGACCUGCUAGAACAUAACUGACGCUGAUGCGCGAAAGCGUGGGGAGCGAACAGGAUUAGAUACCCCAGUAGUC
rnacentral:rRNA from 1 species